rnacentral:rRNA from 1 species
GAUGAACGCUGGCGGCGUGCCUAAUACAUGCAAGUCGAGCGAACAGACGAUGAUCUUGCUCCUCUGUCGUUAGCGGCGCACGUGUGAGUAACACGUGUAUAACCUACCUAUAAUACUGGUAUAACUUCGGGAAACCGGAGCUAAUACCGGAUAAUAUAUUGAACCGCAUGGUUGAAUAGUGAAAGACGGUUUUGCUGUCACUUAUCGAUGCAUCCGCGCCGCAUUAGCUAGUUGGUAGGUUAACGGCCUACCAAGGCGACGAUGCGUAGCCGACCUGAGAGAGGGAUCGCCGACAUGGGAGGUGAGACAGGGUCCAGAGUCCUGAGGGACGCCGCAGUAGGGAACGGUCCGCAGCAGGGGGGAGCAUGACGGAGCAGGGGCGAGUGAGAGAUGAAGGUCUUGCGAGCGGAAUGCUGUGCUAUUAGGGAUAAACCAAUGUGUAAGUAACUAUGGACGGCGUGACGGUACCUGGUCAGAAAGCAACGGCUAACUACGUG